rnacentral:rRNA from 1 species
AACGAACGCUGGCGGCAGGCUUAACACAUGCAAGUCGAGCGCCCCGCAAGGGGAGCGGCAGACGGGUGAGUAACGCGUGGGAAUCUACCCAUCACUACGGAACAACUCCGGGAAACUGGAGCUAAUACCGUAUACGUCCUUCGGGAGAAAGAUUUAUCGGUGAUGGAUGAGCCCGCGUUGGAUUAGCUAGUUGGUGGGGUAAUGGCCCACCAAGGCGACGAUCCAUAGCUGGUCUGAGAGGAUGAUCAGCCACACUGGGACUGAGACACGGCCCAGACUCCUACGGGAGGCAGCAGUGGGGAAUAUUGGACAAUGGGCGCAAGCCUGAUCCAGCCAUGCCGCGUGAGUGAUGAAGGCCCUAGGGUUGUAAAGCUCUUUCACCGGUGAAGAUAAUGACGGUAACCGGAGAAGAAGCCCCGGCUAACUUCGUGCCAGCCGCCGCGGUAA